rnacentral:rRNA from 1 species
CCUACGGGAGGCAGCAGUGAGGAAUAUUGGUCAAUGGGCGGAAGCCUGAACCAGCCAAGCAGCGUGCAGGAUGACGGCCCUACGGGUUGUAAACUGCUUUUAUACGGGAAUAACGCGCCUUACGUGUAGGGCUUUGCAUGUACCGUAAGAAUAAGGACCGGCUAAUUCCGUGCCAGCAGCCGCGGUAAUAAGGAAGGUCCGGGCGUUAUCCGGAUUUAUUGGGUUUAAAGGGAGCGUAGGCCGCAUGUCAAGCGUGCUGUGAAAUGUCCGGGCUCAACCCGGGCCUUGCAGCGCGAACUGGCGAGCUUGAGUCCGCGGAAGGCAGGCGGAAUUCGUCGUGUAGCGGUGAAAUGCUUAGAUAUGACGAAGAACCCCGAUUGCGAAGGCAGCUUGCUGCAGCGGAACUGACGCUGAUGCUCGAAAGCGCGGGUAUCGAACAGGAUUAGAUACCCCUGUAGUC